UACGUAGGGUGCGAGCGUUGUCCGGAAUACUGGGCGUAAAGCGUGCGCAGGCGGUGAUGUAAGACAGUUGUGAAAUCCCCGGGCUCAACCUGGGAACUGCAUCUGUGACUGCAUCGCUGGAGUGCGGCAGAGGGGGAUGGAAUUCCGCGUGUAGCAGUGAAAUGCGUAGAGAUGUGGAGGAACACCGAUGGCGAAGGCAGCCUCCUGGGCCAGUACUGACGCUCAUGCACGAAAGCGUGGGGAGCAAACAGG
rnacentral:rRNA from 1 species